UAUAUUGUGGUGUAUGGUGCACAGAAAUUUUUGAUGUUUCUGGUGAUAGUUUAAUUCUAUCUGGUAUAA
rnacentral:tRNA from 1 species